GAUGAAGAACGUAGCGAAAUGCGAUACGUAAUGUGAAUUGCAGAAUUCAGUGAAUCAUCGAAUCUUUGAACGCAUAUUGCGCUCUCUGGUAUUCCGGAGAGCAUGCUUGUUUGAGUAUCAGUAAACACCUCAACUUCCAUAUCUUUUUUUGAAAUGGGAGUUGGACUUGAGUGAUCCCAACGCUUUCCUCACCGAAAAGUGGCGGGUUACUUGAAAUGCAGGUGCAGCUGGACUUUUCUCUGAGCUAUAAGCAUAUCUAUUUAGUCUGCCUAAAAAACAGAUUAUUACCUUUGCUGCAGCUAACAUAAAGGAGAUUAGUUCUUGUGCUGACUGAUGCAGGAUUCACAAAGACAGCUUCGGCCGACUUUGUAAACUCGAUCUCAAAUCAAGUAAGACUACCCGCUGAACUUAAGCAUAUCAAUAGCGAGGA
rnacentral:misc_RNA from 1 species